GCAAAGUGCUAAAGGUUGAGUGACCGUUGAUUGGUUCCCAUGGUGAUUGCUCCUUAUUUAGCUCUUUGACCUAAAUUAAGACCUGUAUUUACCUUGUUAUAUAUCCCUCACGUUUUAUAGUAAAGAGGCUGCAUUACAUAUGUUUACAUUAAAUUAAGCAAUGCAUUCACAUCUAUGCUAAAUAACACAUUCACUGUCAUACUGCAACCAUCCCC